GACCUCCCAGGAUCGCAUCUGGAGAGUGGUUCGUAUCCUGCCAGCUUCGGAGACCGGAGGGAAAGCAAGCCUGGCAGAGGUACCCAUUCCAUUCUCAGUUUGCUCAGUAGCUGGAGAUUGGAAGACACUCUGCAACAAUG
rnacentral:snoRNA from 1 species